AUGCGCUGCAUAGCUCCACCUCAGGGCAACAGAUAGGGCCCCAGUGGGGUGGCACAUUCCAGCAUCACUUCCGACUCUCCUCACCUCAGUCUCCAUAGAUCUAUGUCCGUGGAUUUCCACAUAGGCUACAGCAGGGGUGCCCAAUAGGUCGAUCACGAUGGAGUGGUGGAUUGCAAAGGGAGUGUGGAUUGAUCCCAAGGCAUUAAAAAGUUCCCUUUUGAUUGACUUACAAGGCAGACAGGCAGACAUCUGACCUUUUCUGACGCAUGGGUCACUGCACAUGCGACAAAACUCUUUUUAGCCUCCAAUUUUAUUUCGUGUAGUCUAAACUUAAGAAAGGGUAUAAAAUGAGUGGGGGACCAAGUUAGAAUUCAAAAACUUGUUUUCACAAUGGCCUUUUUUAAAGUGUGUUUACCUUAUUUGACUGUGUCCCAUCACUGCAACAAAGAAGGCAACUGUGGAGUGGAUUUUUCGAGCUGUUCAUAAAACCUACAACACUGACUUCCCACUGAAGAAACAAGCUGAGAAGGAGAAUGGUGAAGAAAGUAAAUCCCACUUGUCGGGACAGCAGUCAAUUUCUCACAGCUAACAUCAAAAUCAAACUCAGCCACCGACGCAUCGUGAGUCACUUCAUCGUUAAAAAGAAGAAAUCCUUCCAAGAGGGUGAGAUAGUAAAAGUGGAAUUCGUAGAAGCAGCUGACUCAUUGUUCUGAAACUCUAAAAACCAAACAGAACUACAAUCUUUAAUCAAAGUUCUCCGGCUAUCAAGAAGUAGUCACACAGCACAGUGAAACCAGGGCUGAGGAUUUUCAGCCAUGUCAUCAAUCCAGCCAUUGUCAGGAUUGUCCCAACCAGCAAUUUAGGAAGGAGACUGUCUACACUCUACAGACAUGAGUGAAAAACCAUGAUCAAUAUGAUCAACUAAGUUAAUGCUUUCAAACAAAAAUUGCAACAUCUCGCCUCAAAACUUCAGCAAAAUGAUUUGUCAAAAUUCCAGAACCUCACAUCAGAGCUGGUGACGCAAGAGAAGUCAUCUGCAGCUUCGCAGUGGAUGCUACACAAAGCAGAUUGACGCCAGCGCAAAAUCUACAUGGUUUUUGCGCACGAAAACAUCUUCACUUAGCUCUCUCGUUCAGAGUCGCUAAGUUAUUUAGCAUAUGGACGCUUCAUAUGGAUGCUUCGAUUAUUUUAGAACUUGAAGCUUGUCUGUACACCUAUCAGGGAAGCAAGCAGCGUGCCAAACUCGGAUGCAAACAAUGAUCUGACGGCAUGUCAACAUUCUCUCCAGUCUCUGGAUCAUAACAAGACUUUCAACUUACCGAUAUCUCUACACCGCAGCUAGCCCAGUUUCUGGGCCGGGUCGCUCCUGUCAGCUGGUGUUGGCUAGCUAGCCUGCCAGUCAAGCGAUCUGCCUCUACUCACCACCACAGAGCAGACAUCUCACACUUUCAACUCUGCGCCGUGGAAUCAUUUUGCAGAGUCCUCUGCUACCUGGCUUAAGAAGAUUGCCCCUCACUUGCCGAGCUCUCCCAGCAGCUUCAAGUUUUACAGAAGCAAGUUUGCUGGUCUUAUUCCUCCAACAAUAUGCAAUCAAUGGCUCCACUCACCUCCCCACCGGACUAUGACAACUGCUCCUGUCUCAAUGCCAAGAUUACUACGUUGGAAGGCCGAAUCUCCACACUGUACCAGAUCCAAAUGCUGAGAGGUUCAUGGAUACCAUCCUCUUAGGACCAGCUCUGUGAUAGAGAGCCCAAUGAACCUGCUCCCUGCCAUGCUGAUGUGGGCCCUCCCCCGGUUGCCAUAGCUGAUGAGUCCUGGGUACAGCUUGGAGCUAGACCCAAAGCUCCAGUCAGCUCUACACCCAGUAACCAGGAACCCUGGACCCUGGUCGGUGCCCAUGGUGCAAGAGGAAAGCGCUCUGCACACACCUUUCCGGACCGUGGCAUCAAGUUGGACAAUAAAUUCAAUGUCCUCAGCCUUCUGAACUUACCUCCUCUGGAUAAUGAUUCCCGGCCUCCACUUUCAUCGCCUCCGCUCCUCCAACCCCUCCUAUGACCAGACCGGCACACGCUGCACACCCAAAUGUCCACCGUGCCUGUCUGCACAUCACCGAAAAGAACUCCUUCCCACCUGUCUUCAGUGUCACCUAAAGGCCUACCAUCCGAAGGGUUUCUCGCCGCUGUGCACCACGCAUUGCCUGCGGCUGCUGGAACACGUCCCAUCAGGCAGACAAGUGUGCUCCCCCUGGUGCUGUGUGUUUAAACUCUUUAAGCAUUCUGUGUUGUCACCUGCUAGGCUCGGUAAUUGAAUUACUGUUGGCUGCAUCUAUCAAAAUUCUAUUUGGCCACCCAAUACUGUAGUCAUUGCUCUUGUAAAUACCCAAUCAAUAUCCAACAAGAUUCUCAACGACUUAAUCACAACACAUCAUUGUGAUUUCCUUUUUCUCGCUGAGCCAUGGCUCAAACCUGAGGAAGGUGCCCCCUUAGUGGAGCUCUGCCCUCCCGACAGCGCCCUAAACCCCCCUAGACUAACAGCCUGUGGGGGCGGCAUUGUUUUUCAGAAAAACUUUACUUGUGCUCAGCUUAGUCUUGGCUCCUUCAACAGUUUCGAAAGUCUAUUUAAAAUAGUGUGUGGCAAUCGAGUCCGCUUUGUUACCAUACUGUAUAUCAUCCACCUAAUUCAGUUACAGGUUUUCUUGAUGAAAUCUCUGAUCUGCUUUCAUCUCUUGUGGUAAAUUUGGACAGGGCCAUUAUUAUAGGUGACUUUAAUUUCUAUAUUGAUAAUCCAACAAACUCAUUUGCCUGGGAAUUUUUAAAUAUCUGCAAUUCCUUUAACCUAGUGCACCACGUUUUGGUCCUACUUAUAUCCACAGACAUACCCUUGAUUUAGCUCUGACCUUAAACAUACCUAACUCUUUAAGCAUGAUUGAUUUUGCCUCUGGCCAUAAAUGCAUUAAUUUCGGUGUACAUCUGUAUAGUCCUCAAACAAUCCAGAAAUAUGAAAUCCAUUCCCACAUCUUUAAUGAACAUUCAGCUUCCCUGUUUUAAAUUAGCUCCCCAAUUUGCUAAACCCCCCUCUGGAUUUUACAAACAUCUAUUAUUUUGUUAAUUGGUUAAACGAGAUAUAUACUUCAGCCCUUGAGUGUUCUGCUCCUCUUGUUUCCAGAUCUGUCACAGUUAAUAAUAUAACCCCUUCGUUUAAUUAAAAUAUUAGAAAACAAAGAAGUAAAUAAA